CAAAGAACCAAGGAAUGCACUUUUGUGUCCAGGGCUGGGAAAGCAAGUCCUUCUGCACGUUGCCCUAGUCAGACCAUACCUGUCCAGUUCUGGGCAGGUUUUAGAGAGAACUGGGGAGUGUCCAGAGGAAGAUGACCAGAGGGUAAAAGGCCAUGCCAUCUGAAGAUCUGUUGAAAGAACUAGGAUCAUUUUAUCCUGUGAGGAAAAAAGAUACAUCUAGUAGGGGUCUAGGUCAAGUUUUGCUCCUUUCUUUGAAGACUCUAAGGAAGGCAGUGAGUGUGGAAAUUGAGCUUUGUUUGAACCUAGUCCUCUGUGCCUGGGAAACUGAACCACCUGCAGAGACCCCCAAUCAAGUUCUUGGAUUGAUGCAAGGUGUCUUACCAUAAUUUUGAAUCUAAGCAACUCAGAUGACAUAUCUGAAACGUAACCUCAUACUCAUCACUAGUCAUUGUCUCCAUGUUCUUUUUUCUUUCUUUUUUUUUUUAAUUAAAACACUUACCUUCUGUCUUGGAAUCAAUACUGUGUAUUGGUUCCAAGGCAGAAGAGAGGUAAGGGCUAGGCAAUGGGGGUCAAGUGACUUGUCCAGGGUUACACAGCUGGGAAGUGUCUGAGUUCAGAUUUGAACCCAAGACCUCCCAUCUCUCAAUCCACUGAGCUACCCCCUCUCCAUGUUCUUUUGAUUGUUUACAGGUAGUUGGCAGGGUUUGUGGGACAUUUCAGUUGAUAUCAUUGUCUCAUACAGAUGAGAUCAAAGGAGUUUAGGUAACCACCAAAGUCAAUGAGAACUGUUUCAAAGUGGAACUAGUCACUUUAGGAGAGAGUGAGUUUUCCAUUGGGAGAUAAUCUUGGAGCUUACUUGAGAUGAUGACUUGUCAGAAAGCUUGUAAGGAGAUUCCCAGCUUGAGUAGGGAUUCGACCAGAUGCCCUCUGAAAUCUUUUUGGCUUUGAGAUUCCAUGAUUCCUUGGGAAUUUUAGAACUGAGAAAGAUCAUAGAGAUUAAUUCCAUUCCCUUGGUUUUCAGAUGAGGAAAUAGUUUCAGUGAAGUGACUAGCUCAAGAUUACACAGCAAGUGAGGGGAAGAGCUGAGACUUCCGUGUAGGUUCCAUGAAUCCAUAGAAGCCCAAAUCCGAUGAUAUCCAACAUCCCCUGGAAAGGACUUCCUUUUACCUGGAGCCCUAUAGUCCUCAGAGUGCCUCACUAGAAAGCCAUAGUUCAUUUUACCCCACGCUUUAUUGAUCUGCAGACCAAACCUUUGCUCCCCUGAAUGGGGAUUUCCUUAGAUCCAUUCAGACUUGUUUCCAUUGACUCAGUCAGUGCUGAUGGGCUUGACUCACUGACAGGGUGAAUCCACCUCUGCUUUCCAUCAUCUUUUCCCUUCUCCCCUGGGACCAGGAAACUACACCCAACCCCCACACCAUCCCCUUAUUAUUAUAAUAAUUCCCAUUUUUAUAGCACUUUGCCCACAACAACCUUAUGAGGUAGGUAGUAUAAGGAAUGCAUUACAUCCAGCCAGUAGCUUGUGAAGUGGAUGGAAUGUUGGACUUGAGAGUCUGAAUUGUGCCUUAGACACCUAAAAGCUGUGGGGACCUAAAUCAUGAGGAUACGAGAGUAAAUGUUUAACAGUUGUCUUUGGGAUCUGUGCUUAUUAUGUGGGACAUACUUUUAAACUUACUCUAUAUUGUUAAGCUUUUCUCUAUUACUUUCUUAAGUCUAAACAAUCAACAAAACAAUAAAUCAAGCUCUAAUUUGUAGUGUUUGCUAAUU
ensembl:lncRNA